UACGUAGGGGGCAAGCGUUGUCCGGAAUUAUUGGGCGUAAAGAGCGCGUAGGCGGUCUGUUGCGUCGGCUGUGAAAUCCCGGGGCUCAACCCCGGAACUGCCUUUGAUACUGGUAGUCUCGAGUCCGGAAGAGGUGAGUGGAAUUCCGAGUGUAGAGGUGAAAUUCGUAGAUAUUCGGAGGAACACCAGUGGCGAAGGCGGCUCACUGGUCCGGUACUGACGCUGAGGUGCGAAAGCGUGGGGAGCAAACAGG
rnacentral:rRNA from 1 species